rnacentral:pre_miRNA from 1 species
AAAGUACUCCCUCCGUCCGAAAAUACUUGUCAUCAAAAUGGAUAAAAAGAGAUGUAUCUAGAACUAAAAUACGUCUAGAUACAUCCCCUUUCAUCCAUUUUAUUGACAAGUAUUUCCGGACAGAGGGAGUAUAAG